CUGGAAUCAUCAACUGUCUAGCAGCCUUGUGGAAGGUGUCUGUGAGCCUGGGGAACAUAGAUGUCCUUGUCUGAGAUACUAUUAAGUUCAUCUCCUCUGAAUUUGAUUAAUGACCUCUGCACUUACUGAGACUUGAAAUGCUGAAUUAAAGACCAGAAAAAAUACUUCUAAGAAAAGUCCAUUCUACCAGGACCAGAUGCAUUCAGCAACCGUGUAUUCAAGUAGAAGCUGCACUACCCCUCGCGAACUGCAAAGCAGCAUAAGGUACCUGGAGCUCCUGGAUCCCGUUCUGGAGAGAUGUUCAGGAAUCCCACCUCUAGACUGUGAUGAUCUACAAGCUCUCAGAAGUACAGAUGCAGAAUUACAAGUGAAGCAAAGGACACUAUUUCUUUCAGGGGAUUGGUGACUGAAAAGACAGGGACUUCCAGGCUCACUCUCCAAGGACGUUGCUGGGACUGGAUCACGGAUGAUACGUUAAAGCUGCUCACAUUUAUUGCUAUCUUGGAGUUUUAGAAGAAGCGCUAAGAGAUUGAUGACCCAUAGUUGAACAGCCAACAAACAGGAGAUUUUUUUCCUGGACCACUUAAAAUCUUCGUGCCACUCUUCCUUCAUUUUCUACUUCCUAAUAACGUGAGGAACUUGUGGUCAGGGAAAUUUUUCUCAAUAGUUCAAUGAAAGCAAAAAGCCUCAAUUAAUUUUAGAUUUGUACACUUUUCCCCAAUUAAAUUCUUUCAGUGGCUAGAGGGCAUAGUCUUUUAUUGAGUAAGACACACUUUAAAUCUUUUUUCCUACCAGAAGGCAAGCAUUCUCAAAGAAAGAAUCCUAGUCUCCAGAGAUCCCAGAGUAGUUUUCACAGAUCUCUGUAAAUGAGCAGAAAUAAUCCCUUGGCACAUGAAUAAGUUGAAAUAUUUGUAGGAAAACUUGUUUCUCUGAAGCGCUUCAUAGGCUGAUUAAAAGUUUUUAAGAAUCUAGAAA